UACGUAGGGUGCGAGCGUUGUCCGGAAUUAUUGGGCGUAAAGAGCUUGUAGGCGGUCUGUCGCGUCUGCUGUGAAAAUCCGGGGCUCAACCCCGGACUUGCAGUGGGUACGGGCAGACUAGAGUGUGGUAGGGGAGACUGGAAUUCCUGGUGUAGCGGUGAAAUGCGCAGAUAUCAGGAGGAACACCGGUGGCGAAGGCGGGUCUCUGGGCCG
rnacentral:rRNA from 1 species